UACGUAUGUCCCGAGCAUUAUCCGGAAUUAUUGGGCGUAAAGAGCGUGUAUGUGGCUUUAUAAGUCUGUCGUUAAAUCUCACUGCUCAACAGUGAGACCGCGAGCGAUACUGUAGGACUUCGAGGUUUGCAGGGGUGAGCAGAAUUUCCAGAGUAGGGGUGAAAUCCGUUGAUACUGGAAGGAAUACCAAUGGCGAAGGCAGCUCACUGGGCAACACCUGACACUGAGACGCGAAAGCGUGGGGAGCGAACGGG
rnacentral:rRNA from 1 species